rnacentral:rRNA from 1 species
AUUGAACGCUGGCGGCAUGCCUUACACAUGCAAGUCGAACGGCAGCAUGAUCUAGCUUGCUAGAUUGAUGGCGAGUGGCGAACAGGUGAGUAAUACAUCGGAACGUGCCCUGUAGUGGGGGAUAACUAGUCGAAAGAUUAGCUAAUACCGCAUACGACCUGAGGGUGAAAGUGGGGGACCGAAAGGCCUCAUGCUAUAGGAGCGGCCGAGGUCUGAUUAGCUAGUUGGUGGGGUAAAGGCCCACCAAGGCGACGAUCAGUAGCUGGUCUGAGAGGCCGAUCAGCCACACUGGGACUGAGACACGGCCCAGGCUCCUGCGGGAGGCAGCAGUGGGGAAUUUUGGACAAUGGGCGAAAGCCUGAUCCAGCAAUGCCGCGUGUGUGAAGAAGGCCUUCGGGUUGUAAAGCACUUUUGUCCGGAAAGAAAUGGCUCUGGUUAAUACCUGGGGUCGAUGACGGUACCGGAAGAAUAAGGACCGGCUAACUACGUGCCAGCCGCCGCCGUAACAC